rnacentral:rRNA from 1 species
UACGUAGGGGGCUAGCGUUGUCCGGAAUCAUUGGGCGUAAAGAGCGUGUAGGCGGCCCGGUAAGUCCGCUGUGAAAGUCCAGGGCUCAACCCUGGGAUGCCGGUGGAUACUGUCGGGCUCGAGUCCGGAAGAGGCGAGUGGAAUUCCUGGUGUAGCGGUGAAAUGCGCAGAUAUCAGGAGGAACACCAAUAGCGAAGGCAGCUCGCUGGGACGGUACUGACGCUAAGGCGCGAAAGCGUGGGGAGCGAACAGG